UGAAUUAGUUUAAAUAUGUUUUAGUCCAAAUAUAUCAAAUCGCAGAGUUGUACGUGGGAAGAAGGCAUCUUUAAUUUGUGGAAUUCUGCUUUUUGUGGAAUUCUCCUUUUUGUGGAAUUCAACAUUUUUUGUGUGUGUUAACCUUUCCUCGGUGGACAAACAUUUUAUUUGAAGAAAUCGUUUGCAAAAGAAGUCAACGAUUGCCAUAUGUGAUCUUGAGAAAAACAAUCGCUGUUAUUUGUUUGAAAAUACUAAAGGAUAUUUAGUUUUGUGUUUUGCAAAUAAUAUUGAGACAAACAAGAAAAAGAUUUUAUUUAGGCUGCUGGUUUGCUACAGAACAUAUUACAGAUAAUGUAUUUGUUUAUAACUGAAAAGUCGUUUGAAUUUUAUAUUUUAGCUGUGGAGACUUUGCAUACUGUAACCUAUAUGUGGGCGUCACCUGCUGAUCAUUACGGUCUUCGUGGGGAAGAGUUUAAACUAAAGUGUAUUUUCUCUGGAAACCCUACCCCUGAUAUACAUUGGACAAGAACCAAAGGUGGAGCUAUGCCAGAAGGAAUUCAGAUAACUAGUUUUGGCCAAGAAUUGGUUUUUCCGAAGCUGUUGGAUAGCGAUGCUGGAGAAUAUGAAUGUUUGGCUACCAAUUCCAUAAGUCCUCAAGCGGCACGUAAUUUAUUUUCUUUACGUGUUGAAUCAAGACCAUACUGGACAGAUAAUGGUCCAGACGAUGUAGAAGUUGGCAUUGGUGGUUCUGCAACUUUUGUAUGUAAGGCUCAGGGUAAUCCAGAGCCAGAUACAAAAUGGUUUAUUAAUGGUGUUCCUUUAGCAAAGGUAACAGAUCCCCGAGUAAAGAAUGGUAGAUUUAAAGUUUUAGGACCUGAUACUGUGAUGAUGGUUAACCUGACGAGUGAUGAUGAUAUGGUUAUCCAGUGUAAUGUGACAAAUAAGCACGGAUAUAUCUGGGGUGAUUCCUACCUAAAUGUAGGGUUCCCAGUAAUCGGUUGAUCCAUUACGUCACUAUUCACAUAGUUAUCUAAGAAGUUAUCAACGACGACAUUUGGGAAAAAACAAAACCCUGUUACAUUAAUACUGUCCGAAUACAUAUUAAUCUAUUAACUAUAACUAAGAUGAUUUUACCAUUAGUCAUCGCAUACCGAUUGAUCUAUUAACUAAAAUGAUAUGAUGUUAAACUGUUAAACUAGUA